UACAGAGGGUGCAAGCGUUAAUCGGAAUUACUGGGCGUAAAGCGUGCGCAGGCGGUUCGUUAAGUCAGAUGUGAAAGCCCCGGGCUCAACCUGGGAACUGCAUUUGAAACUGGCGGGCUUGAGUGUGGCAGAGGGGGGUGGAAUUCCGCGUGUAGCAGUGAAAUGCGUAGAGAUGCGGAGGAACACCGAUGGCGAAGGCAGCCCCCUGGGCCAACACUGACGCUCAGGCACGAAAGCGUGGGGAUCAAACAGG
rnacentral:rRNA from 1 species